rnacentral:rRNA from 1 species
AUGGAUCAGUCGUCCUCCUCGUCCUUCGUCGCCGCCGGCCUCAAGCGCAAGAACGCCGGCCUCGGCUGCGCCAGGGAGCUGCCCUCGGAGGCGGUGGGGCUGGGCUACGGGGCGAACGACGGCGGAGACGGGGAGCGCCGGGUCGUGGUCGGCGAGAUGGACUUCUUCGAGACGGAGAUGAGGAAGGAGAAGCGGGACAGGAAGGAUGCCACGCACGCCGCCGCCGCCGGCGACGACCUCGGCAUCGGCAACAAAGGGGCCGACCUCACCAUCGACAUGGGGCUGCACGUCGGGGGCCGGAGGAGGAACAGCGGCAGCGAGGAGUCCACCGUCGACGACGGCGUCUCCUCCAACGACGACGACCACAGGGAGGCCAAGGCCGAGCUAGCGGCCGCAAAAUCGGAGCUGACGCGGGUGAACGAGGAGAACAAACGGCUCAAGACGAUGCUCGCCAACGCCAACACCAAGUGCAGCUCCCUCCACAUGCAGAUCGCGCUCAUGCAGCAGCAGCAGCAACAGCAGAGGAGCAGCCAUGGCCACGCCCACGCCCACCAGUUCGAACCGGAGAAGAGGGAGCAGCAGCUCCUCCUCGACGCGGGGAGCCACAACCCCCUCGUGCCGAGGCAGUUCAUGAGCCUCGGCUCCUCCUCGUCGCCCGACGAGCCCCGCCCCGCGCGCGGCACCGAUGCGUCGCCGAGCACCAACCCCCUCCUCGCCGUCGGCCCCGACGGGGCCAUGGACUGCGCCGGAUGCCAUGGCAUCGUCGGCGCGGGCAAGGCGGAGCUCAUGCCGCUGCCGUCGUUCGAGCACCACGGUCACCACGAGAGGGGCGGCAGCCCGGAGGCCAUGCAGGGCUGGCUGCCUAGCAAGGUGCCCAAGUUCCUCCCCGCCGCCAAGGGCCCCGAGCCUCCCCCGCCUGAGGCCGCUGCCGCCGCCGCCACCAUGCGCAAGGCCCGCGUCUCCGUGCGCGCCCGCUCCGAAGCCGCCAUGAUCAGCGACGGGUGCCAGUGGCGCAAGUACGGGCAGAAGAUGGCCAAGGGCAACCCGUGCCCGCGCGCCUACUACCGGUGCACCAUGGCCGCCGGCUGCCCGGUGCGGAAGCAGGUGCAGCGCUGCGCCGAGGACCGGACCGUGCUCAUCACCACGUACGAGGGCAACCACAACCACCCGCUGCCGCCGGCGGCCAUGGCGAUGGCGUCCACCACGGCGGCCGCGGCGUCCAUGCUGCUGUCGGGCUCCAUGCCCAGCGCCGACGGGCUCAUGGCGGGCGGGUCCAACUUCCUGGCGCGCGCCGUGCUGCCGUGCUCCUCCAGCGUGGCCACCAUCUCGGCGUCGGCGCCGUUCCCGACCGUCACGCUCGACCUCACGCAGACGGCGCCGGGGCAGGGCGCGUCGCCGCCGCGCGCGCCGGAGCCCGCGCAGCUCCAGGCGGCGCUGGCCGAGGCGGCGCGGCCGGUCUCUCUGCCGCAGCUGUUCGGGCAGAAGCUGUACGACCAGUCCAAGCUCUCCGCCGUGCAGGCCGUGGCCGGCACCAACGGGGACGGCGGCGCGCAGCUGGCCGACACGGUGAACGCGGCCACGGCCGUGAUCGCGUCCGACCCCAACUUCACCGCCGUGCUCGCGGCCGCGCUCACCUCCUACAUCGGCAGCAGCAGCGGCAGCGGCAGCGGCAGUGCCGGAGGUGGAGCCACGGCCGCCGGCGGGAGCAGCGGCACGGUGCAGCCGCUGGUGAGCAGCGGCGGCGACAGCUGCAGUAGAGACGACACGACCGGCUAG